GGGGAAUCUUGCACAAUGGGGGCAACCCUGAUGCAGCGACGCCGCGUGAGCGAUGAAGCCCUUCGGGGCGUAAAGCUCUUUCGACCGGAACGAUAAUGACGGUACCGGGAGAAGAAGCUGCGGCUAACUACGUGCCAGCAGCCGCGGUAAUACGUAGGCAGCAAGCGUUGUUCGGAGUUACUGGGCGUAAAGAGUGCGUAGACGGUUUUCUAAGUUCGGUGUGAAAUCUCCCGGCUUAACUGGGAGGGUGCGCCGAAGACUGGGAAGCUGGAGUGUGGGAAAGGCAGGCGGAAUUCCUGGUGUAGCGGUGAAAUGCGUAGAUAUCAGGAGGAACACCGGCGGUGUAGACGGCUUGCUAGACCAUAACUGACGCUGAGGCACGAAAGCGUGGGUAGCAAACA
rnacentral:rRNA from 1 species